rnacentral:rRNA from 1 species
AGAGUUUGAUCCUGGCUCAGGAUGAACGCUAGCGAUAGGCUUAACACAUGCAAGUCGAGGGGCAGCAUUAUCAAAGCUUGCUUUGAUAGAUGGCGACCGGCGCACGGGUGCGUAACACGUAUGCAACUUACCCAUAAAGCGAGGAUAACCCGGAGAAAUUCGGACUAAUACUCGAUAGUAUUAUUAAGAGGCAUCUUUUAAUAAUUAAAGAUUUAUCGAUUAUGGAUAGGCAUGCGCAUGAUUAGCUAGUUGGUGGGGUAACGGCUCACCAAGGCGACGAUCAUUAGGGGUUCUGAGAGGAAGGUCCCCCACACUGGUACUGAGACACGGACCAGACUCCUACGGGAGGCAGCAGUGAGGAAUAUUGGUCAAUGGACGAGAGUCUGAACCAGCCAAAUCGCGUGAAGGAAGACUGCCCUAAGGGUUGUAAACUUCUUUUGUGUGGGAAUAAAAGAUAGCACGUGUGCUAUAUUGUAUGUACCAUACGAAUAAGGAUCGGCUAACUCCGUGCCAGCAGCCGCGGUAAUACGGAGGAUCCGAGCGUUAUCCGGAUUUAUUGGGUUUAAAGGGUGCGUAGGCGGGAGAUCAAGUCAGUGGUGAAAUGGUGUGGCUCAACCAUAGCAUUGCCGUUGAAACUGGUUUUCUUGAGUGUAAAUGAGGUAAGCGGAAUGUGUUGUGUAGCGGUGAAAUGCAUAGAUAUGACACAGAACACCAAUUGCGAAGGCAGCUUACUGGGAUACAACUGACGCUGAGGCACGAAAGCGUGGGGAUCAAACAGGAUUAGAUACCCUGGUAGUCCACGCAGUAAACGAUGAUUACUAGCUGUUUUCGAAAUAAUGUAAGGUGGGCUAAGGGAAACCCGAUAAGUAAUCCACCUGGGGAGUACGUUCGCAAGAAUGAAACUCAAAAGGAAUUGACGGGGGCCCGCACAAGCGGAGGAACAUGUGGUUUAAUUCGAUGAUACGCGAGGAACCUUACCCGGGCUUGAAAUGCAGAAGACGAAUCAGGAAACUGAUUUUCCAGCAAUGGCUUCUGUGUAGGUGCUGCAUGGUUGUCGUCAGCUCGUGCCGUGAGGUGUCGGCUUAAGUGCCAUAACGAGCGCAACCCUUGCCAUUAGUUACUAACAGGUAAAGCUGAGGACUCUAAUGGGACUGCCACCGCAAGGUGUGAGGAAGGUGGGGAUGACGUCAAAUCAGCACGGCCCUUACGUCCGGGGCGACACACGUGUUACAAUGGGUGGGACAGAAAGUUGCUAAGUGGUGACACAGCGCUAAUCUCCAAACCCACUCUCAGUUCGGAUCGGAGUCUGCAACUCGACUCCGUGAAGCUGGAUUCGCUAGUAAUCGCGCAUCAGCCAUGGCGCGGUGAAUACGUUCCCGGGCCUUGCACUAAGCGCCCGUCA